AAUGGGUCAGCGACUUAUAUUCUGUAGCAAGGUUAACCGAAUAGGGGAGCCGAAGGGAAACCGAGUCUUAACUGGGCGUUAAGUUGCAGGGUAUAGACCCGAAACCCGGUGAUCUAGCCAUGGGCAGGUUGAAGGUUGGGUAACACUAACUGGAGGACCGAACCGACUAAUGUUGAAAAAUUAGCGGAUGACUUGUGGCUGGGGGUGAAAGGCCAAUCAAACCGGGAGAUAGCUGGUUCUCCCCGAAAGCUAUUUAGGUAGCGCCUCGUGAAUUCAUCUCCGGGGGUAGAGCACUGUUUCGGCAAGGGGGUCAUCCCGACUUACCAACCCGAUGCAAACUGCGAAUACCGGAGAAUGUUAUCACGGGAGACACACGGCGGGUGCUAACGUCCGUCGUGAAGAGGGAAACAACCCAGACCGCCAGCUAAGGUCCCAAAGUCAUGGUUAAGUGGGAAACGAUGUGGGAAGGCCCAGACAGCCAGGAUGUUGGCUUAGAAGCAGCCAUCAUUUAAAGAAAGCGUAAUAGCUCACUGGUCGAGUCGGCCUGCGCGGAAGAUGUAACGGGGCUAAACCAUGCACCGAAGCUGCGGCAGCGACGCUUAUGCGUUGUUGGGUAGGGGAGCGUUCUGUAAGCCUGUGAAGGUGUGCUGUGAGGCAUGCUGGAGGUAUCAGAAGUGCGAAUGCUGACAUAAGUAACGAUAAAGCGGGUGAAAAGCCCGCUCGCCGGAAGACCAAGGGUUCCUGUCCAACGUUAAUCGGGGCAGGGUGAGUCGACCCCUAAGGCGAGGCCGAAAGGCGUAGUCGAUGGGAAACAGGUUAAUAUUCCUGUACUUGGUGUUACUGCGAAGGGGGGACGGAGAAGGCUAUGUUGGCCGGGCGACGGUUGUCCCGGUUUAAGCGUGUAGGCUGGUUUUCCAGGCAAAUCCGGAAAAUCAAGGCUGAGGCGUGAUGACGAGGCACUACGGUGCUGAAGCAACAAAUGCCCUGCUUCCAGGAAAAGCCUCUAAGCAUCAGGUAACAUCAAAUCGUACCCCAAACCGACACAGGUGGUCAGGUAGAGAAUACCAAGGCGCUUGAGAGAACUCGGGUGAAGGAACUAGGCAAAAUGGUGCCGUAACUUCGGGAGAAGGCACGCUGAUAUGUAGGUGAAGCGACUUGCUCGUGGAGCUGAAAUCAGUCGAAGAUACCAGCUGGCUGCAACUGUUUAUUAAAAACACAGCACUGUGCAAACACGAAAGUGGACGUAUACGGUGUGACGCCUGCCCGGUGC
rnacentral:rRNA from 1 species